AAAAAAACUAUAAUCAGACAGUGUUAACCAUUGCACGUGCUGGCAAGUGAUCCGCAAGAGCAAAACAAUUAUUGACAAGUGGUAAACGUUAAUUGAAUAAAAUCCGAACAGUCCGUUGUGCAGUGCAAUGAUGGAGCAGCCCGUGUUCCGUUAAUGUGGGGCAUACCGUACAACGAUGCAACUACGAUUCAACCCACACCCUCACGCCGUUAGCUAAAGUCAGUGUAAACAUAAUUCCUGGCAAACAAUAAACUCCCGGCCAGGCCCGGCUCUAUUUGAACAGUACGACACCGAAGUGAAUAAAGAUUAUCGUAAUGGAGGCAUGUAAGCGAAGAGAGCGCACAAAAGCCCCGGCCCUUUACUGCCUACACCAUGCAUGAGCACCAUUGGCAUUCUAGCCAUUUCGGUGAGGCCCUCUUUGGAGGGGGGUCAACGCAUUCCUUCCGUUCGCAAUCGUUCGCAUGCCGAACAUGCAACAAUCUGUCCGUUACUGUUGUUUGCACGGAGAUUCUUCGGGUUGAUGUGGACCGACGGAAUAUGUAAUGUUCGACCGAGGGGCUACCGGCAUUCGCGCUGGGGAAUUCAUCAAACAACCAGCCAGUGGACCCCAUUGAAAUGCGAAUGCGAACCGUGUUGUUAAAAAAAUAUAUAUCGUCUGUUUUGCUUUGCAUUGAUUUCUGGUAGGAUCGGUACUGGUCGGUGUACAUGUACUGCUUCAGGCUGUAUCAUAACGCCGGGCCGGAUCGAGCCCGAAAAUUGUUCAUUUUGAGAAAAGGUCAUUCCACGGUUUUUUUUUUGGCAUAACAUGUAUUUAUUCAUUCGCAUGGUCUGGAUGUAUAUUACAAAUAUAUUGGAAAAGCUAUGAACCCGCAAAUAUAAAUAAAGAUUGCAACUGUUAUGCCCAAUG